rnacentral:rRNA from 1 species
GACGAACGCUGGCGGCGUGCUUAACACAUGCAAGUCGAACGGAAAGGCCCUGCUUGCAGGGUACUCGAGUGGCGAACGGGUGAGUAACACGUGGGUGAUCUGCCCUGCACCUCGGGAUAAGCCUGGGAAACUGGGUCUAAUACCGGAUAGGAGCCAUUUUGAGUGAGAUGGGUGGAAAGUUUUUUCGGUGUAGGAUGAGCUGGCGGCCUGUCCGCUUGUUGGUGGGGUAAUGGCCUACCAAGGCGGGGACGGGUAGCCGGCCCGGGGGGGUGGGCGGCCACAUUGGGACUGAGCUACGGCCCAGACUCCUACGGGAGGCAGCAGUGGGGAAUAUUGCACAAUGGGCGCAAGCCUGAUGCAGCGACACCGCGGGGGGGAUGACGGCCUUCGGGUUGUAAACUCCUUUCGCUAGGGACGAAGCUUUUUGUGACGGUACCUAGAUAAGAAGCACCGGCUAACUACGUG